rnacentral:rRNA from 1 species
UACGUAGGGGGCAAGCGUUGUCCGGAUUUAUUGGGCGUAAAGAGCGUGUAGGCGGCUUUACAGGUCCGUUGUGAAAACUCGAGGCUCAACCUCGAGACGCCGGUGGAAACCGUAAGGCUAGAGUCCGGAAGAGGAGAGUGGAAUUCCUGGUGUAGCGGUGAAAUGCGCAGGAUAAUCAGGAGGAACACCAAUGGCGAAGGCAGCUCUCUGGGACGGUACUGACACUGAGACGCGAAAGCGUGGGGAGCGAACAAGG